UGACCAGACUCCUACGGGAGGCAGCAGUGGGGAAUAUUGGGCAAUGGGCGAAAGCCUGACCCAGCAACGCCGCGUGAAGGAAGAAGGCUUUCGGGUUGUAAACUUCUUUUGACAGGGAAGAGCAGAAGACGGUACCUGUCGAAUAAGCCACGGCUAACUACGCGCCAGCAGCCGCGGUAAUACGUAGGGGGCGAGCGUUAUCCGGAUUCACUGGGUGGAAAGGGAGCGUAGACGGCCAUGCAAGCCAGGGGUGAAAGCCCGGGGGCCAACCCCGGGACUGCCCUUGGAACUGCGUGGCUGGAGUGCAGGAGGGGCAGGCGGAAUUCCUGGUGUAGCGGUGAAAUGCGUAGAUAUCAGGAGGAACACCGGUGGCGAAGGCGGCCUGCUGGACUGCAACUGACGUUGAGGCCCGAAAGCGUGGGGAGCAAACAGGAUUAGAUACCCGCGUAA
rnacentral:rRNA from 1 species